rnacentral:lncRNA from 1 species
UCAUGAAUCUGACCCUAUUCAUAACCACGUUCAUCUCAAUCUCUUGUUCGGAAACUUUCAAUUACGAACCGUUGCCAAAUUUACGAGACCGAAACGCGUUAUAAAUACGACAUGUUGGUUGAACCUUACACACACACAUCUCGACCCACUCUCCUUCUCUCUCGUUUGCACUAGUCAUCGCCGGAGUUCAUCGAGUUACGUCGAGACACAGUUCUUCUCAUCUCGCCACAACCUCAGUUCGAAUCAUUGGAGUCGCCGGAGAAUUCGGGGCUUCGCCGGAGAUACGUUGGCCUCGAAUCGUCACUGUUCGGCUUUGCAGUAUGGUGCAGAGACCAGAACUUGAAGUUUCUUGGGAAUGAAGCAACCUGUUUUCUCCACUGCUCCCGUUGUUUGGGUUAUUUUUGUUUGACCAUUCAGUAACUUCCUCCGAAGAUGCAUGAAGGGCAGUUAAUUCUCUGUGUCGAGUUGAGACUGAUGGUCAAUAUAAUGUUAAUGAUAUAAAAAAUCACAUAUAAUUAUGUUGUCGAUAGAGUAUCUUACUUGAAAUCCAAUCAAGAACCAUAAAAUACGUAUCUAGG